CCAAUAGCGUAUAUUAAAGUUGUUGCAGUUAAAAAGCUCGUAGUUGAAUUUCGGGGUUAGUAGGUUGGUCAUGCCUCUGGUAUGUACUGGUCUCACUGAUUCCUCCUUCCUGAUGAACCUUAAUGCCAUUAAUUUGGUGUUUUGGGGAAUUUGGACUGUUACUUUGAAAAAAUUAGAGUGUUUAAAGCAAGCUAACGCUUGAAUACAUUAGCAUGGAAUAAUGAAAUAGGACGUUCGAUCCUAUUUUGUUGGUUUCUAGGAUUGACGUAAUGAUUAAUAGGGAUAGUUGGGGGCAUUAGUAUUCAAUUGUCAGAGGUGAAAUUCUUGGAUUUAUUGAAGACUAACUACUGCGAAAGCAUUUGCCAAGGAUGUUUUCAUUAAUCAAGAACGAAAGUUAGGGGAUCGAAGACGAUCAGAUACCGUCGUAGUCUUAACCAUAAACUAUGCCGACUAGGGAUCGGAUGAUGUUAAUUCUUUAAUGACUCAUUCGGCGCCUUACG
rnacentral:rRNA from 1 species